AUUGAACGCUGGCGGCAGGCCUAACACAUGCAAGUCGAGCGGUAACAGGAAGCAGCUUGCUGCUUCGCUGACGAGUGGCGGACGGGCGAGUAAUGUCUGGGAAACUGCCUGAUGGAGGGGGAUAACAACUGGAAACGGUAGCUAAUACCGCAUAACGUCGCAAGACCAAAGAGGGGGACCUUAGGGCCUCUUGCCAUCGGAUGUGCCCAGAUGGGAUUAGCUAGUAGGUGGGGUAACGGCUCACCUAGGCGACGAUCCCUAGCUGGUCUGAGAGGAUGACCAGCCACACUGGAACUGAGACACGGUCCAGACUCCUACGGGAGGCAGCAGUGGGGAAUAUUGCACAAUGGGCGCAAGCCUGAUGCAGCCAUGCCGCGUGUAUGAAGAAGGCCUUCGGGUUGUAAAGUACUUUCAGCGGGGAGGAAGGGAGUAAAGUUAAUACCUUUGCUGAUUGACGUUACCCGCAGAAGAAGCACCGGCUAACUCCGUG
rnacentral:rRNA from 1 species